rnacentral:misc_RNA from 1 species
CUUUUUUCUUUUGCAUUUUGGGGAUUUGGUGAAUUUUGUAGAGGGUCAGGAGCUUAUGAAUAAAUUAUUAACUAUGUUCUUUUAUGUCCUUUUAUUUUAUUUUGUAUGGGAAUAUAGCCUACCCUAACUAGUCUCUAAUUAAGGCUUAGUUUUUAUUGUUGAUGGGGAAUAUUUCCUUCCAAUUUUUAACCAUUCAGCAAUCAGCUUGGAAUCAGUUUUUUGAAAAAUUGGCAUCA